rnacentral:rRNA from 1 species
GUACGGGUUGUGAGAGCAAGAGCCCGGAGAUGGAUUCUGAGACACGAAUCCAGGCCCUACGGGGUGCAGCAGGCGCGAAAACUUUACAAUGCUGGCAACAGCGAUAAGGGAACCUCGAGUGCCAGGUUACAAAUCUGGCUGUCGAGAUGCCUAAAAAGCAUUUCAUAGCAAGGGCCGGGCAAGACCGGUGCCAGCCGCCGCGGUAACACCGGCGGCUCGAGUGGUAACCGUUAUUAUUGGGUCUAAAGGGUCUGUAGCCGGCCGGAUAAGUCUCUUGAGAAAUCCAGCAGCUCAACUGUUGGGCUUUCAGGAGAUACUGUUCGGCUCGAGGCCGGGAGAGGUGAGAGGUACUUCAGGGGUAGGGGUGAAAUCUUGUAAUCCUUGAAGGACCACCAGUGGCGAAGGCGUCUCACCAGAACGGACCUGACGGCAAGGGACGAAAGCUAGGGGCACGAACCGGAUUAGAUACCCGGGUAGUCCUAGCCGUAAACGAUACUCGCUAGGUGUCGGCCACGGUGCGACCGUUGUCGGUGCCGUAGGGAAGCCGUGAAGCGAGC